ACUCCUGCGGGAGGCAGCAGUGGGGAAUUUUGGACAAUGGGCGAAAGCCUGAUCCAGCAAUGCCGCGUGUGUGAAGAAGGCCUUCGGGUUGUAAAGCACUUUUGUCCGGAAAGAAAUCCUUGGCUCUAAUACAGUCGGGGGAUGACGGUACCGGAAGAAUAAGCACCGGCUAACUACGUGCCAGCAGCCGCGGUAAUACGUAGGGUGCGAGCGUUAAUCGGAAUUACUGGGCGUAAAGCGUGCGCAGGCGGUUUGCUAAGACCGAUGUGAAAUCCCCGGGCUCAACCUGGGAACUGCAUUGGUGACUGGCAGGCUAGAGUAUGGCAGAGGGGGGUAGAAUUCCACGUGUAGCAGUGAAAUGCGUAGAGAUGUGGAGGAAUACCGAUGGCGAAGGCAGCCCCCUGGGCCAAUACUGACGCUCAUGCACGAAAGCGUGGGGAGCAAACAGGAUUAGAAACCCUAGUAGUCCCAUGA
rnacentral:rRNA from 1 species